AUCCAGCUGACGAGUCCCAAAUAGGACGAAACGCACGUGCUGGAU
rfam:Schistosoma margrebowiei strain Zambia genome assembly, scaffold: SMRZ_scaffold0001364